ACCAUAGAAUGGCUUGGGUUGGAAGGGACCCCAAAGCUCAUCCAGUCCAACCCACCUGCAAUGAGCAGGGACAUCUUCACCUAGAUCAGGUUGAUCAGGACCACAUCCCACCUGGCAUCUUCCCCACCUGAACUUCGGAUGCUCAGGAAAGGGAACAUGAUUUCUUUUACAAAGCCAUUUCUUGGCACGAGGAAGCGCCAGCUCCUGGCCUGCCCUGUGCUGGUGUCCUCAGAGUAGGAAAAGCUCAGCUCUGCCUGUGCCAUAGUGGGGUGACAAUGGGUAUAACCCAGCCUGGAAUCCCCCAGAGCCCAGAGGGAUGGGGACAGCACUGCCCCACUGCUGACAGUGGGUUUUCAAAGCACAAAAGCCAUCGGUUGUAAACUUCCACUCAAGGUAGAACCAGAGUGCCUGGGGUCCUUGGUCAGUGGGUCCUAUGUCUCCCACCACCACCUGGUAUUGAGCAUCUCACUGCUGGCCGUGAAGAAGGCAAAGGCUGCAGGGACACUGCAUUAGACAAGAGAGGAGAUUCAAAACCACCCUGCUUUGCUUUUGGGGGCCGCUUUGGUGGGGCAUGAAGAGGUUGAGAUCUCUUUCCUCGCAUUGGGCUGAGCUUUGUGGCCACCUCUAGAGUUGGAGGCGAAGGAUGGGGUGGUGAAGAGGCUGGAGAGGGCCAAGGAGUCAGCACGUUAAGGAUUUGACCCACAAAGCUGGAUAAAGCAAAAGAAAAACC